UGUGGUUUUGCAAGUGUAAAACUCGGUGUUUUGAGUUUAGAGCAACCGCUUUGUGUAAAACCAUGAGAUUGGAUUUGUUUUCAGUCUUCCCUUUCUCAAUGUCUCGUGGAGUAACUGGGUAAUAGAUCUUUUUGCGUGUCUUUUAAGUUCUGAAAUUGGUGGAGGUUUUAUAUACAUACAUACAUACAUAUAUAUAUAUAUAUAUAUAUAUAUAUAUAUAUAACAGUUAUCAAAGUUUAGAGGUUGAUCUUUCCUGGGCUGCUGAUCCCCGUUCUGGAUGAAUGGUGUAUGGUUUUGAGGUUAGCUGUCAUUAGAGCCGGUGGAGCAAUUCUCAGGAAUGUUAAAAAUUUAUAAUGACAAUGAGAUAUGAGCGGAACUUCUGCUUUGGGUGGCUGCAUUCCAUUAAGCUAUGGCCUUGAUAACGGCGGCGUCUCACUUUGAGCAAUGAAUUCAACAGUGUCUCGCCACAGCUGAAGUUGAACACGGUGGAUGCAGCGACUUGGAUGAUAAUUGAUGCAAAGAGAUGGGAAGAUCCUGGGAUUGAGAAUUACCACCAACUAGACCAACAAUGUCCAUUCAAAAACAGGAGUCAAUUGAUGUGUUUUUGGUCAUCGCUCUUUAACAAUUUGGAUACAAAGAAAUCAGAUUUGUAAAAUAGAAUGCCAUAUCAUGAUCCUACUCGGACUAAAAUCCUCUCUAAGCUAAAAAGAGUCGGUCCAGUCCAGUUAGUGAUGUAUCACUCAUCUAAAUAAACUAUCAUAAUAUUCAUUAAUGUAGCAACUGCAGAUAAUUUUCUCAA